GAAUUAUUUCCUGGAUGAGGGUCUGGGUCCACUUGGAUGGAUCUGUGAAGGGACAUGAACCCACCUCACCAGAAUGCACAGGAUGGCACCAGAGGCUACCUCACUCCUUUCCCUUUGCUGUGCUGGCCUUCUGUGAGGACAGGCCUUUGAGACCCCACUUCAAGUCUUCAACCCUAAGAUCUUUGGUCCUAUCAGGAAAUGUGUGUCCCUUCAUUUCUGGGGGCCCCCAACCCACACCAAGUAGGGCUGGGGAUGGGUUUGCACAAUGAGCCUCAUUUCCUGUCCUAUCCAGUUCUGCUUUUCCUCUGGCGCGCCUCCCCUUCAGCAGAAGCUCCAUUCUGCAUGGAGGAAGGGGUGUGGGUGGGGUUGGCCUGAUGCCAGAGAAAGUGGUUUCCUUGUAGCUCAGCUGAAUUCCAUGACAGCUCUGCCUAGAUGCUGUCAGUACCCUGAUGACAAGGAGUGCUUAGCCCUUGGGGAGAAGCCCCAGGAUCCAUACAGGACUGUUCUUCAUAUAGCUGAGCCUUUGGUUUCUGCAGGAAGCUUUCUUACUUUAAACUCACCUCCUCCUAUUCUUUGUCCAUCAGAGACAUGAUAAAUGUGGACUGUUGGGAGAUGCUAAGAGCUAUGAAACUCUAGUUUCUUUUGCCCCUACCCACCUCUCUGCCUCCCUGCCCUGCUUCCCCCAAGCCUUGUUGAGAAAUGGCAUCUUCCCCCUCAUGCUGAGGGCUCCUCCAUGGACAGUGGUUAUGGGGUCCAGGCUCUAGCUGUCUUUGGUCUCCUGAGGGGAAGUUCUCUCGUAUCAGCUAUACUGGAUAUACACCGAACAAACACUUUUCCAGUGGUUAGGGCUCAGGGCCGUCCAUGGCUGGCUGAGGCUCAGGAAACCCUGCUGUCUCAGUGGUGUGUGUUCAACUGAGUCUUUUCUGCUUUCAGUCACUCAGUGUCUGAAGGGCUUGGAUUCUGGAUGUGUGACCAGGCAGGGGCGGCCCCACGGGAGGAGGAAGAAAAUGUGAUGGGUAACCAGGGCUGCUGUUCAGGAUGUGAAGUGUAAAAACUGUUACGCCUGCCUUGUGCAAGUCAUUUCUUCUUCCCUUUCAGUAGCUCUGGGAGUGUCAUUCCUGUAUGUGGUUUCCCAGCCCCCAUUACCUUAUCUUCCCCCUUUCAGAUGGAAGAAUUGGAUGAUGCAAAUGAUCCAAUCCCUCCCUAGAGGGUCCAAUUUCUCAAUUAUUUUAAACCUUGCAAUUCAAAUUUCAUGUUUUCUUUUAAAUUUUUAAAAAUAUUUUUAUUUGAAGAUGGACACAAUACCUUUAUUUUAUUUUUUUUUUAUGCUGAGGACCAGCACCUCACACAUGCUAGGCAAACACUCUACCAUUGAGCUACAGCCCAGCCCUCUGUGGUUUAUUUUUGAGAAAAAAAUUCAUUUCAUUUGUCAAUGGAUAGACAUUUAUCACAAGACAGUGCAGCCUAGCAUUGUCCCCCACCCAAACCUAUCUUCCACUGACUUCUUGGACAAAUAUAAUUUGUUGUCCUUGGCUUCUCAGUGUUCCUUAUGUCACUCAUGCUUAGGGUGGACUGGAAGACAUGCUGCAAGAACAGCUGUUUGUGGAAAUGUGCUCACCUUGUUGGUCUCUCUUUGAAAGAAAGAUUUUUCACAAAACCCAAAACCCAACAUUUCUCUGAAAAUGUGACUGCCACUGCCUAUUCCUCUUCCUCCUCCUCCUCCUCCUCCUUCUUCUUUUCUUUUUCUUUUAUUCCUGGGGACUUUUCCACCGAGCCACAUCCUCAGCCCUUGCUAAGCCACUUAGGGCCUUGCUAAGUUGCUGAGGCUGGCCUUGCUUGUCUCAGCCUCCCAAGCUUCUUGGACUACAGGCGAGCACCACUGCACCUGGCUCCUCUUCUAUUUUUAUGCUCUAAGGAAGUCACAGAGAAUGCAGUUGCUGCUAUAGCUGGCAUUUGGGCCUACACUAGGGUGGGUAACUUCAAUUUCUGUAGAGAAUUAUUUUGUCCUGGUUGAACAAAUUUAAAGUGAAGAGCAAGAAAGGAAGACAAAUUGUUGUGAAAUGUUAGACUCAUAUUUGACUAAAUUUAUGUGGUUUUAUCAACUUGGAAACAAUGCUCUCAAUUUCCCUUUACAGUGUGUAUCACAAAAAUGUCCUGUCAACUAAAAUGAUGUUUCCUC
rnacentral:lncRNA from 1 species